rnacentral:tRNA from 1 species
GUCGACGUGGCCAAGCGGUCAAGGCGUCGGACCGACACUCCGAAUCACGUGGGUUCGAAUCCCACCGUCGACG